rnacentral:rRNA from 1 species
GAUGAACGCUAGCGGCAGGCCUAAUACAUGCAAGUCGAACGGUAACAUGGUCAGCAAUGACUGAUGACGAGUGGCGCACGGGUGCGUAACGCGUAUGCAAUCUACCUCUUACUGGGGAAUAGCCCGGAGAAAUCCGGAUUAACACCGCAUAAUAUAUUGUUGAGGCAUCUCAGUGAUAUUAAAUAUUUAUAGGUAAGAGAUGAGCANGCGUCCAAUUAGUUAGUUGGUGAGGUAACGGCUCACCAAGACAAUGAUUGGUAGGGGUUCUGAGAGGAAGGUCCCCCACACUGGUACUGAGAUACGGACCAGACUCC